rnacentral:rRNA from 1 species
GAUAAACGCUGGCGGCGUGCAUGAGACACGCAAGUCGAACGGACGAUCGAGGCUUGCUUCGAUCGUUAGUGGCGGACGGCUGAGUAACGCGUAGGUGACCUGCCCCGAAGUGGGGAAUAACUGCCCGAAAGGGUGGCUAAUACCGCAUGUGGUGGUGUGUUCAAUCACACCAGUAAAGCCGCAAGGCGCUUCGGGAGGGGCCUGCGUCCGAUUAGCUCGUUGGUGGGGGUAACGGCUCACCAAGGCGACGAUCGGUAGGUGGUCUGAGAGGACGAUCACCCAGACUGGGACUGAGACACGGCCCAGACUCCUACGGGAGGCAGCAGUCGGGAAUUUUGCGCAAUGGACGAAAGUCUGACGCAGCAACGCCGCGUGAGGGAUGACGGCCU